GGUCACACCCGUUCCCAUACCGAACACGGAAGUUAAGCUCUCUAGCGCCGAUGGUAGUUGGGACCUUGUCCCUGUGAGAGUAGGACGUUGCC
rnacentral:rRNA from 1 species